AACGGAGCCGCCGCUUUUAGAGUUUUGUUUCUGCUCAGGAUGAACGCUGGCGGCGUGCCUAAUACAUGCAAGUCGAACGAACUUCCGUUAAUUGAUUAUGACGUACUUGUACUGAUUGAGAUUUUAACACGAAGUGAGUGGCGAACGGGUGAGUAACACGUGGGUAACCUGCCCAGAAGUAGGGGAUAACACCUGGAAACAGAUGCUAAUACCGUAUAACAGAGAAAACCGCAUGGUUUUCUUUUAAAAGAUGGCUCUGCUAUCACUUCUGGAUGGACCCGCGGCGUAUUAGCUAGUUGGUGAGGUAAAGGCUCACCAAGGCAGUGAUACGUAGCCGACCUGAGAGGGUAAUCGGCCACAUUGGGACUGAGACACGGCCCAGACUCCUACGGGAGGCAGCAGUAGGGAAUCUUCCACAAUGGACGCAAGUCUGAUGGAGCAACGCCGCGUGAGUGAAGAAGGGUUUCGGCUCGUAAAGCUCUGUUGUUAAAGAAGAACGUGGGUAAGAGUAACUGUUUACCCAGUGACGGUAUUUAACCAGAAAGCCACGGCUAACUACGUGCCAGCAGCCGCGGUAAUACGUAGGUGGCAAGCGUUAUCCGGAUUUAUUGGGCGUAAAGCGAGCGCAGGCGGUCUUUUAAGUCUAAUGUGAAAGCCUUCGGCUCAACCGAAGAAGUGCAUUGGAAACUGGGAGACUUGAGUGCAGAAGAGGACAGUGGAACUCCAUGUGUAGCGGUGAAAUGCGUAGAUAUAUGGAAGAACACCAGUGGCGAAGGCGGCUGUCUGGUCUGCAACUGACGCUGAGGCUCGAAAGCAUGGGUAGCGAACAGGAUUAGAUACCCUGGUAGUCCAUGCCGUAAACGAUGAUUACUAAGUGUUGGAGGGUUUCCGCCCUUC
rnacentral:rRNA from 1 species